rnacentral:rRNA from 1 species
GACGAACGCUGGCGGCGUGCCUAAUACAUGCAAGUCGAACGCAGUGGGGACGGGUGAGUAACACGUGGGUAACCUCCCCUCAGAGGGGAUAACACUUGGAAACAGGUGCUAAACCGAUACUGAUGGAUGGACCCGGGGGGCAUUAGCUAGUGGGUGAGGUAACGGCUCACCAAGGCCACGAUGCAUAGCCGACCUGAGAGGGUGAUCGGCAACACUGGAACUGAGACACGGUCCAGACUCCUACGGGAGGCAGCAGUAGGGAAUCUUCGGCAAUGGGCGAAAGUCUGACCGAGCAAGGCCGCGUGAGUGAAGAAGGUUUUCGGAUCGUAAAGCUCUGUUGUUAGAGAGGCGGUAUCUAACCAGAAAGCAACGGCUAACUACGUGCCAGCAGCCGCGGUAAUUC